rnacentral:misc_RNA from 1 species
UAAUAAGUGUUUUAUGGCACUUUUUAAAUCCAUAUCCACCUUGUGUGCAAUGUCGAUCGAUCUUCUUCAUGGAGAUCGACCAAACAUCAACCUUUAUCUUUUAACUCUUUGUCUGAAAAAUAUUAUGAAUAAACAAUUCAAAAUA